rnacentral:rRNA from 1 species
GAUGAACGCUGGCGGCGUGCCUAAUACAUGCAAGUCGAGCGAACAGACGAGGAGCUUGCUCCUUUGACGUUAGCGGCGGACGGGUGAGUAACACGUGGGUAACCUACCUAUAAGACGGGGAUAACUUCGGGAAACCGGAGCUAAUACCGGAUAAUAUUUCGAACCGCAUGGUUCGAUAGUGAAAGAUGGCUUUGCUAUCACUUAUAGCUGGACCUGCGCCGUAUUAGCUAGUUGGUAAGGUAACGGCUUACCAAGGCAACGAUACGUAGCCGAGCUGAGAGGGGGAUCGCGCACUCAGGAGCUGAGACACGGUCCAGGGUCCGACGGGAGGCAGCAGUAGGUAAGGUUGCGAAAUGUGCGGAAGCUUGACGGAGCAGCGCCGCGUGAGUGAUGAAGGUCUUCGGGUGGUAAAACGCUGUUAUUAGGGAAGAACAAUUUCGUAAGUAACUGAGCAUGUCUGGACGUUACCUAAACAGAAAGCCCCGGCAACCUACGU